CAGCACUGCAGUGUCUCCAUCAUGGCCUGGGCUCCUCUAUUCUUCACCCUCCUCGCCCUCCUCACAGGGUCCCUCUCCCAGCCCGUGCUGACUCAGCCGCCCACUGCAUCUGCCUCCCUGGGAGCCUCUGUGACACUUGCCUGCACCCCAAGCAGCGGCCACAGCGGUUAUGCUGUCGACUGGCACCAGCAGAGCCCAGGGAAGGGCUCCCGGUUCGUGAUGCGAGUGGGCAGCGGUGGUGUUGUGGGAUCCAAGGGGGAUGGGAUCCCUGAGGGCUUCUCAGUCUCGGGUUCAGGCCUGGAUCGGUACCUGACCAUUCGGAACAACCAGGAGGACGAGGCUGACUACCACUGUGGGGCAGACCACAGCAGUGGGAGCAGCUUCGCGUACUCCACAGUGACACAGGCGGGGGGAAGGGCUGAUUCUCAGACUGUGGUGACCCAGGAGCCAUCACUGUCAGUGUUUCCAGGAGGGACGACCACACUCACCUGUGGCCUUAGCUCUGGAUCAGUCUCUACGGGACACUACCCCAGCUGGUACCAGCAGGCACCGGGCCAGCCUCCACAUAGGCUUAUCCACAGCACGAACGUCCGCCCCUCUGGGGUGCCUGAUCGCUUCUCAGGCUCCAUUGUUGGGAGCAAAGCCGCCCUCACCAUCACGGGGGCCUAG